AUGCUAUGCUGUGGGCAUGCUGCAAUGUAUUCCUAAAGGCGUUUCCAGGCUUCUGGGACUGUCUCAUGCUGGAGUUGUUCAAAACAAGAAAUCUUGUUCCGAAGGGU